AAGGUAAAAUAGGAAACAGGAAGCAAAAUUCCAGAGCGGAGUUUUCCAAAAUAGAGCAGGUUCCUAAUUUCAUCUGCCUUGGCUGAUCUGCUCUUACAUGCACGACCACCGCGUGUUGAUUGCCAAUUAGUGGAAUGGGAACAGGUGUGUUGAUUGCCAAUUAGUGGAGUGGGAACAGGUGUGUUGAUUGCCAAUUAGUGGAGUGGGAACAGGUGUGUUGAUUGCCAAUUAGUGGAGUGGGAACAGGUGUGUUGAUUGACAAUAGACAAUAAGAUUACAAGUCCUACCUACGACAACCACUGCAUUUAAAAGCAAAGAGACAGUUUCUUUAUUUGAGAGUUUGUUUCUUGCUUAAACAGAGAGAAUUAAAAAAAAAAAAGGUUUCUAUUCAUUAAAAAAAAUAUAACAUUUUUUGUUUUGUUUGCUUGUAUAAUGUACAUAUCAAAUACAUUGUGUGUUGCCUCAGACCCCAGUCCAAGAUAUGGUAACACAAUCCCUCUCCACAACGCAUCCAAGAGCCCUCCUCCACUAUGGAGAACAGAAUAUCACACAUUCACGUUAUAUCUGCUAUUUCCAAGUUGUGUUCCUGAAUCGUAAGCUGCCAUAGCAACUGCUAUUUGGGGAAACAGUUGUAGUAUUACUUCAUAGUCAUUUGAUUUGAG
ensembl:lncRNA